rnacentral:tRNA from 1 species
GGCAAGAUGGCCGAGCGGUCUAAGGCGCUACGUUCAGGUGAAUUGUACCUCGUAGUCCGAAAGGGCGUGGGUUCGAAUCCCACUCUUGUCA